UUGUGGGUCCUGGAUGAGUGGCGAACGGGUGAGUAACACGUGAGUAACCUGCCCCCUUCUUCUGGAUAACCGCAUGAAAGUGUGGCUAAUACGGGAUAUUCUGGGUCUGUCGCAUGGUGGGCCUGGGAAAGAUUGCGCCUUUUUUGGUGUUUUUGGUGGGGGAUGGGCUCGCGGCCUAUCAGCUUGUUGGUGGGGUGAUGGCCUACCAAGGCGGUGACGGGUAGCCGGCCUGAGAGGGUGGACGGUCACACUGGGACUGAGACACGGCCCAGACUCCUACGGGAGGCAGCAGUGGGGAAUAUUGCACAAUGGGCGCAAGCCUGAUGCAGCGACGCCGCGUGAGGGAUGGAGGCCUUCGGGUUGUGAACCUCUUUCGCCAGUGAAGCAGGCCUGCCUCGUUUGUGGGUGGGUUGACGGUAGCUGGAUAAGAAGCGCCGGCUAACUACGUGCCAGCAGCCGCGGUAAUACGUAGGGCGCGAGCGUUGUCCGGAAUUAUUGGGCGUAAAGAGCUCGUAGGCGGCUGGUCGCGUCUGUCGUGAAAUCCUCUGGCUUAACUGGGGGCUUGCGGUGGGUACGGGCCGGCUUGAGUGCGGUAGGGGAGACUGGAACUCCUGGUGUAGCGGUGGAAUGCGCAGAUAUCAGGAAGAACACCGGUGGCGAAGGCGGGUCUCUGGGCCGUUACUGACGCUGAGGAGCGAAAGCGUGGGGAGCGAACAGGAUUAGAUACCCUGGUAGUCCACGCCGUAAACGUUGGGCACUAGGNGNNGGGGGGCCUUUUCCGGGUCUUCCGCGCCGUAGCUAACGCAUUAAGUGCCCCGCCUGGGGAGUACGGCCGCAAGGCUAAAACUCA
rnacentral:rRNA from 1 species